rnacentral:rRNA from 1 species
CCUACGGGGGGCUGCAGUGGGGAAUAUUGGACAAUGGGGGCAACCCUGAUCCAGCCAUGCCGCGUGUGUGAAGAAGGCCCUCGGGUUGUAAAGCACUUUCAGUGAGGAAGAACGCCUGGUGGUUAAUACCCAUCAGGAAAGACAUCACUCACAGAAGAAGCACCGGCUAACUCCGUGCCAGCAGCCGCGGUAAUACGGAGGGUGCGAGCGUUAACCGGAAUUACUGGGCGUAAAGCGCGCGUAGGUGGCUUGAUAAGCCGGUUGUGAAAGCCCCGGGCUCAACCUGGGAACGGCAUCCGGAACUGUCAAGCUAGAGUGCAGGAGAGGAAGGUAGAAUUCCCGGUGUAGCGGUGAAAUGCGUAGAGAUCGGGAGGAAUACCAGUGGCGAAGGCGGCCUUCUGGACUGACACUGACACUGAGGUGCGAAAGCGUGGGUAGCAAACAGGAUUAGAUACCCCAGUAGUC